rnacentral:rRNA from 1 species
UACGUAGGGUGCGAGCGUUAAUCGGAAUUACUGGGCGUAAAGCGUGCGCAGGCGGUUCGCCAAGUCAGGUGUGAAAUCCCCGGGCUUAACCUGGGAAUUGCGCUUGAAACUAGCGGGCUUGAGUGUGGCAGAGGGGGGUGGAAUUCCACGUGUAGCAGUGAAAUGCAUAGAGAUGUGGAGGAACACCGAUGGCGAAGGCAGCCCCCUGGGUCAACACUGACGCUCAUGCACGAAAGCGUGGGGAGCAAACAGG